rnacentral:tRNA from 1 species
UAGACAGAUGCCCGCUGGUUUGGGCGCUUAGCUGUUAACUAAGAUUUUGCAGGGUCGAGGCCUGCCUGUCUAG